rnacentral:rRNA from 1 species
GCCUACAGCCAUACCACCCUGAACACGUCUCACAAGCUAAGCAGGAUUGGGCCCAGUAGGACUCCGAUAGGAGAUCGCCUGGGAAUACCAAGUGAGGAA